CUGAAAUAAACCUGAUGGGUUGCUGCUGGCUCUCCAGGGAGCAUGUGCACACCUUGUCAUCUUUAUAUCUCCACCUGUGCACCUUUUGUAGACCCCUCUGGGUCUAUGUUGCUUCAUUUGCACCCCCAAUGUAUGUUGAUAGAAUGUUGUGGCUAUAUGAAAUCUAUA
rnacentral:misc_RNA from 1 species